rnacentral:tRNA from 1 species
GGUGAGUGGUUAAAGCACUUGGCUGUGAACCAAAAGGUUGGUGGUUCAAACCCACC